rnacentral:lncRNA from 1 species
CGCUGUCCAAAGCUUGCAACCCAGGGGCAUCCCAACGGCACCGCCUCCUCCGGCUCCAGUUCAACCGGAGCCCCCUACAAGCGGGUUUCCCCUUCGAGUAUCAUGCUCCAAGUCCCAAACGCUCAGUCCAAAAUUCACCAUUAAGAUCUCCGGUAGAUCAAGUUCCACAAGUCCAACUCGAGCACUUCGAUGCGCUUGUGCAGCAAGUCCAAGCGCUAGCUAUUUGCAGCCCAAAGCCUGCAACAAGUGGAGGCCCCUCCUGUGCCGCCUCCACGGAAUCAUGUGAAGCAGAGGAAGAAACUUUCUCCUGACUCCCGAGCCAUCUCGAAUCAGGCAUGGCUCCCGCUGCAACGACAUAUGUGGGGGCAACCAGUGAGAAGUAGUAGUCCAAGUCUCACGUCAACGAGUUGGGGGGAAAGAGAAAUAAAAGCUGAGGUCUGGAGAAGGAAAGUUAUGGAGCUUUAAAAUGGGAUUGUAAGCCUCUGUGACAAAGGGUACA